GAUGAACGCUGGCGGCGUGCCUAAUACAUGCAAGUCGAGCGAACAGAUGAGGAGCUUGCUUCUCUGAUGUUAGCGGCGGACGGGUGAGUAACACGUGGAUAACCUAUCUAUAAGACUGGGAUAACUUCGGGAAACCGAAGCUAAUACCGGAUAAUAUUUUGAACCGCAUGGUUCAAUAGUGAAAGACGGUUUUGCUGUCACUUAUAGAUGGAUCCGCGCUGCAUUAGCUAGUUGGUAAGGUAACGGCUUACCAAGGCAACGAUGCGUAGCCGACCUGAGAGGGUGAUCGGCCACACUGGAACUGAGACACGGUCCAGACUCCUACGGGAGGCAGCAGUAGGGAAUCUUCCGCAAUGGGCGAAAGCUUGACGGAGCAACGCCGCGUGAGUGAUGAAGGUCUUCGGAUCGUAAAACUCUGUUAUUAGGGAAGAACAGAUGUGUAAGUAACUGUGCACGUCUUGACGUUACCUAAUCAGAAAGCCACGGCUAACUACGUG
rnacentral:rRNA from 1 species